CUAUAGUGUGACUGUAUACUGAGUCGCUCUUCUUCGCUCUCCUUAGUCGCUCUUCUUCGUCAGAAUGUCCUCUAUAACACUUUGUCUUAACCAGGCAGGUAUGUCUUGUUCCACUGUUCCAGACCACGCUUUGUUCAUUUAUUGUUUCUAAUGUUAAAACGACUAACAAUGACAUUUUCAUAUCGUUUACAUGUAGGGCCAAUUUCACAGACUCAGAAUAAGCCUGCUCUUGGGCAACAAAUACUAAGGAUUAGUCUUAAUUUGGUCCGGAAACCGGCCCAUAGAUGAAUUUCCGGAAACUGGCCCAUAGAGUUCCAUAGAUGAAUGAGGUUUGGAAAACUGGCCCAUAGAGUUCUAUAGAUGAAUGAGGUCUGGAAAACUGGCCCAUAGAGUUCUAUAGAUGAAUGAGGUUUGGAAAACUGGCCCAUAGAGUUCUAUAGAUGAAUGAGGUCUGGAAACUGUCCCAUAGAGUUCUAUAGAUGAAUGAGGUCUGGAAAACUGGCCCAUAGAGUUCUAUAGAUGAAUGAGGUCUGGAAACUGUCCCAUAGAGUUCUAUAGAUGAAUGAGGUCUGGAAAACUGGCCCAUAGAGUUCUAUAGAUGAAUGAGGUCUGGAAAACUGUCCCAUAGAGUUCUAUAGAUGAAUGAGGUCUGGAAAACUGGCCCAUAGAGUUCUAUAGAUGAAUGAGGUCUGGAAAACUGGCCCAUAGAGUUCUAUAGAUGAAUGAGGUCUGGAAAACUGGCCCAUAGAGUUCUAUAGAUGAAUGAGGUCUGGAAAACUGUCCCAUAGAGUUCUAUAGAUGAAUGAGGUCUGGAAAACUGGCCCAUAGAGUUCUAUAGAUGAAUGAGGUCUGGAAAACUGGCCCAUAGAGUUCUAUAGAUGAAUGAAGUCUGGAAAACUGGCCCAUAGAGUUCUAUAGAUGAAUGAGGUCUGGAAAACUGUCCCAAAGAGUUCCAUAGAUAAAUGAGCGAGUCGUGUUAUGUUUCUCUGCCUCUGACAGGAAGUGUGCGUUGAGCGGCGU